GGACCCUGGUUAGACGAUCGCCCUCGGCAUAGUCGAAGGGAGGAAAGUCCGAACACGCGCCCGUAAAGGGCAGCCAGGUAGCGGGUAACACCCGCACGGAGCAAUCCGCGAGGUGCGAACAGAGACGAAUUUCUUCGAAAGAAGAAAUUCGUCCCGAGCGAAAGCGAGGGACGAGCCGUACAGUAAUGUAUGGUAUGCAACGGCAAAAUCCUUACUUGCGUGCAAGGCCGUGUCCCUGGGCUAAAACAUUUCGCAACGAAAUGUUCGCCCGAACAUGCGAAGCAUGUUUUAGGGAAGCGCCGCUCGAGUCCCGAGGCAACGAGGGACCCAGAUAGAUGAUCGUCCUUGUCUGCCACAGGCAGGCUCGACAGAAUUCGGCUUAUCGACCAGGUCCACAA
rnacentral:RNase_P_RNA from 1 species